GAAAUGAACACCAAACAACAUCAUCUUUCUCAUCAGCUGAACCUCCACUGAUCUCAUCUGUGCCUCCUGUAACAGGCUCUUCUCUGAUCAUCAGUGUGUCUCUGCUUCUUCUUCUGAUCUUCACUUUGAUUCUGUCAGUGAGCGUCACUCUCUGGAGGAGGCGUCAAUCUCACAUGAAUUUCCAGAAGAAAGAAGACUGUCCUGAGAGUGCCGGAUUGAGGAAUAAUCAGGAUUACAGUGAAUACACUGCUGUCGUUUAU